CACCUCCAGCUUCUAUCUUUUAUACAUCUUUUAGAAAAAAAUGUAGUGUGGCUUAUGUGAAUUGAAUUCUGGGCUUGAAUUUUUCUCACGCACUGACAGCAGAACCAACACUGAGGAAUCCAAAACAUCAUUGAUCUGUUUGCUUGCUCAUUGUUUUGUUGAUAUGCUGCUGGGUGAGUUUUAAAUAAAUGUAAUGUCUGCAACCCUUGCAUAUCUAUUGGACCACAGUGACCUAUGCUCUGAUUACUUCCAAUGUAUAAUGAAUGGUUUGUAGGAGUGAGUGCCCUUGCAGAAAUCUAAAAGCUUCAAGCAGAGUCUAAAGUGGCUGUUCUUUAGUUUCCAGUGCCCAGCCAGCUGGUGAGUACAUCAGUCAAGGAUGCAGUCUCUCAAGGGGGAGAAGCAGGGGAAGUCCAAGCAGCCAGAUCAGAGAUUGUAGUAUAUCCUCGAUACACUGGCCAAGAAGUUUCUUUCAUGAAGAGAAGAAACUCCAUUAUGUGGCUGAAGUUCUUCUUUGCAGCUGCUUGUCAUACUGA
rnacentral:lncRNA from 1 species